CGAGGGGCAGCAUAAAGAGUAGCAAUACUUUUGGUGGCGACCGGCGCACGGGUGAGUAACACGUAUGCAACCUGCCUUCAACAGGAGGAUAACCCGUUGAAAGACGGACUAAUACUCCAUAACACAGGGGUUCCGCCUGGGACUAUUUGUUAAAGAUUAAUCGGUUGAAGAUGGGCAUGCGUUCCAUUAGCUUGUUGGUGAGGUAACGGCUCACCAAGGCAACGAUGGAUAGGGGAACUGAGAGGUUUAUCCCCCACACUGGAAUCUGAGACACGGUCCAGACUCACUACGGGAGGCAGCAGUGAGGAAUAUUGGUCAAUGGACGCAAGUCUGAACCAGCCAAGUCGCGUGAAGGAAGACGGUCUUCUGGAUUGUAAACUUCUUUUAUACAGGAAUAAAAUGCUUCACGAGUGGAGUUUUGCAUGUACUGUAUGAAUAAGGAUCGGCUAACUCCGUGCCAGCAGCCGCGGUAAUACGGAGGAUCCGAGCGUUAUCCGGAUUUAUUGGGUUUAAAGGGUGCGCAGGCGGGAUGUUAAGUCGGCGGUGAAAUUUUGCGGCUCAACCGUAAAAGUGCCUUCGAAACUGGCAUUCUUGAGUGUAGAUGAAGUAAGCGGAAUUUGUGGUGUAGCCGGUGAAAUGCAUAGAUAUCACGAGGAACUCCGAUUGCGCAGGCAGCUUGACUAAACUACAACUGACGCUCAU
rnacentral:rRNA from 1 species